CAAUAGCGUAUAUUAAAGUUGUUGCGGUUAAAAAGCUCGUAGUUGGAUUUCUGCCGAGGACGACCGGUCCGCCCUCUGGGUGUGUAUCUGGUUUGGCCUGGGCAUCUUCUUGGAGAACGUAGCUGCACUUGACUGUGUGGUGCGGUGUCCAGGACUUUUACUUUGAGGAAAUUAGAGUGUUUCAAGCAGGCACACGCCUUGAAUACAUUAGCAUGGAAUAAUAAGAUAGGACCUCGGUUCUAUUUUGUUGGUUUCUAGAGCUGAGGUAAUGAUUAAUAGGGAUAGUUGGGGGCAUUCGUAUUUAACAGUCAGAGGUGAAAUUCUUGGAUUUGUUAAAGACGGACUACUGCGAAAGCAUUUGCCAAGGAUGUUUUCAUUGA
rnacentral:rRNA from 1 species